UGAGUAACCUGCCCUUCACUCUGGGAUAACUCCGGGAAACCGGGGCUAAUACUGGAUAUGACUCGAACAGGCAUCUGUUUCGGGUGGAAAGAUUUUAUUGGUGGAGGAUGGACUCGCGGCCUAUCAGCUUGUUGGUGAGGUAAUGGCUCACCAAGGCGACGACGGGUAGCCGGCCUGAGAGGGUGACCCGGCCACACGUGGGACUGAGACACGGCCCAGACCUCCCGAGGGGAGCA
rnacentral:rRNA from 1 species